GACGUAGGGGGCCAGCGUUGUUCGGAAUUACUGGGUGUAAAGGGUUCGUAGGCGGUGCGGCAAGUUGGGAGUGAAAUCUCUGGGUUUAACCCAGAGGCUGCUUCCAAAACUGCUGUGCUUGAGUGUGGGAGAGGCGCGUGGAAUUGCAGGUGUAGCGGUGAAAUGCGUAGAUAUCUGCAGGAACACCCGUGGCGAAAGCGGCGC
rnacentral:rRNA from 1 species